GACGAACGCUGGCGGCGUGCUUAACACAUGCAAGUCGAACGGAAAGGCCCUGCUUUUGUGGGGUGCUCGAGUGGCGAACGGGUGAGUAACACGUGAGUAACCUGCCCUUGACUUUGGGAUAACUUCAGGAAACUGGGGCUAAUACCGGAUAGGAGCUCCUGCUGCAUGGUGGGGGUUGGAAAGUUUCGGCGGUUGGGGAUGGACUCGCGGCUUAUCAGCUUGUUGGUGGGGUAGUGGCUUACCAAGGCUUUGACGGGUAGCCGGCCUGAGAGGGUGACCGGAAAAAGGGGGAAAGAGAAGAGGCAGAGAGGAAUAGGGGAGGAAGAGGGGGGAAAUAAGGAAGAAGGGGGGGAAGAGGGAAGAAGCAACGGGGGGGGGGGGAGGAGGGCGUGGGGGUAGAAAACAGGAUGGGCGAGAGAAGAAGGGAGAGAGAGGAAAAGGGGAAAAGAAGAACGGGAAAAAUACG
rnacentral:rRNA from 1 species